GAUGAAGAACGCAGCGGAAUGCGAUAAGUAAUGUGAAUUGCAGAAUUCAGUGAAUCAUCGAAUCUUUGAACGCACAUUGCGCCCUCUGGUAUUCCGGGGGGCAUGCCUGUUCGAGCGUCAUUAUAACCACUCAAGCUCUCGCUUGGUAUUGGGGUUCGCGGUUUCGCGGCCCCUAAAAUCAGUGGCGGUGCCUGUCGGCUCUACGCGUAGUAAUACUUCUCGCGAUUGAGUUCGAUAGGUCUACUUGCCAGUAACCCCCAAUUUUUACAGGUUGACCUCGGAUCAGGUAGGGAUACCCGCUGAACUUAAGCAUAUCAAUAAGCGGAGGA
rnacentral:misc_RNA from 1 species